GUCACACGACUCAACAUGUGUCGUCAAGUACAAUAUCUCUCAGACGCUUUGGCCGGACCAUUGCGUCAUCAACACGACAGAUGCGAAGAUCAGUGUAAACAUGAACAUACAACAGGGUGACGUCAUUGUUCAGAAAGGAUACCACUGCCAGGUUGAUUCGUACUCAGGAUUCUACGACAAUGGCGGUUUUUCGCACACACAAAUGAACGACGUUCUGAAGAAGAACGGGAUUACACAUGUGCUCGUUACCGGACUAGUUCGACUUCUGCGUGUAUAACACUUCAAAGGACGCCAAAAAGCUGGGUAACGACACGUUUUUUUAUUCUCGACGCUACACGUCCCGUCUUCGAGAGUAACGUUAAAAACGUCACCGCUGAUCUGCGUUCAAAAGGUGUCCACGUCAUCAACUCCACUGACAUCGGCGACUACAUUAGAGCAUCAACGACCCGUGACAUCGGCGACUACAUUAGAGCAUCAGCGACCCGUGACAUCGGCGACUACAUUAGAGCAUCAGCGACCCGUGACAUCGGCGACUACAUUAGAGCAUCAGCGACCAGUGACAUCGGCGACUACAUUAGAACAUCAGCAACCCGUGACUUCGGCGACUAUAUUAGAGCAUCAGCGACCCGUGACAUCGGCGACUACAUUAGAGCAUUAGCGACGCGGGCAUCAAGCUUUACAGCUCUCGUAACUGUAUUCGUUUAUUUCUUUAUUCAAGUGAUUUCGCGAAUUGUUUUGUUUUAAUUUCAUUCCGAAUGAAUAUUGAAAAACAGUGAUGUCCUUUAACAAACCAUUAUUUAGAUGCAUUAAAUAGAUAAUAUGUUGCAACUGAUGGUAUUAUUUAAAUGCAUUUUAUUAAAAAUGAAUUGUUAUUUGGUGUUAUCAUUUAGAUGCAUUUAAUAAAAUAAUUUGGUUCUGGAAAUAUAAUUUGAAUACAUUAUAUAACACUAUCUUGCAAAAGCUGUGAUCGUUUUGAUGUCUGUGAUAAAAAAUGUUGCAACAGGUGUGAUAACUUAGAUGCAUAUAAUAAACACGUAGUGCUACCGGUGUUAUCAUUUAGAUGGAUGCAAUAAAUUGCGUUGGUACUGGCGUUACAAUUUAGAUGCAUUACACAA